ACUCCUACGGGAGGCAGCAGUGGGGAAUUUUCCGCAAUGGGCGAAAGCCUGACGGAGCAAUGCCGCGUGAAGGUAGAAGGCCUACGGGUCAUGAACUUCUUUUCCCGGAGAAGAAACAAUGACGGUAUCUGAGGAAUAAGCAUCGGCUAACUCUGUGCCAGCAGCCGCGGUAAU
rnacentral:rRNA from 1 species